rnacentral:rRNA from 1 species
GUGCCAGCAGCCGCGGUAAUACGGAGGGGGCUAGCGUUGUUCGGAAAUACUGGGCGUAAAGCGCACGUAGGCGGCUCAGCAAGUCAGAGGUGAAAUCCCAGGGCUCAACCCUGGAACUGCCUUUGAAACUGCUAGGCUAGAAUCAUGGAGAGGUCAGUGGAAUUCCGAGUGUAGAGGUGAAAUUCGUAGAUAUUCGGAAGAACACCAGUGGCGAAGGCGACUGACUGGACAUGUAUUGACGCUGAGGUGCGAAAGCGUGGGGAGCAAACAGGAUUAGAAACCCCAGUAGUCC